GAUGAACGCUGGCGGCGUGCCUAAUACAUGCAAGUCGAACGCUUCACAUAUGUGAAGAGUGGCGAACGGGUGAGUAAUACAUAAGUAACCUGGCCUUUACAGGGGGAUAACUAUUGGAAACGAUAGCUAAGACCGCAUAGGUGUGCAGAUCGCAUGAAGUGCACAUGAAAUAUGCUACGGCAUAGGUAGAGGAUGGACUUAUGGCGCAUUAGCUAGUUGGAGGGGUAACGGCCCACCAAGGCGACGAUGCGUAGCCGACCUGAGAGGGUGACCGGCCACACUGGGACUGAGACACGGCCCAGACUCCUACGGGAGGCAGCAGUAGGGAAUUUUCGGCAAUGGGGGAAACCCUGACCGAGCAACGCCGCGUGAAGGAAGAAGUAAUUCGUUAUGUAAACUUCUGUCAUAGAGGAAGAACGGUGCGUGUAGGGAAUGACAUGCAAGUGACGGUACUCUAUAAGAAAGCCACGGCUAACUACGUGCCAGCCGCCGCCGUAA
rnacentral:rRNA from 1 species